rnacentral:rRNA from 1 species
UUUAUGGAGAGUUUGAUCCUGGCUCAGAACGAACGCUGGCGGCGUGCCUGAGACAUGCAAGUCGUGGGAGAAAGUCGGGGCAACUCGGCGAGUAAACCGGCGCACGGGUGAGUAACACGUGGAUAACCUGCCUUGAAGUCCGGGAUAACCCGUCGAAAGACGGGCUAAUACCAGAUAAGACCACGAGGAGUUCGCUCUUCGCGGUAAAAGGUGGCCUCUGCUCAUGCAAGCUAUCACUUCGAGAGGGGUCCGCGCCCUAUCAGCUAGUUGGUGAGGUAAUGGCUCACCAAGGCUGAGACGGGUAGCUGGUCUGAGAGGAUGGUCAGCCACACUGGGACUGAGACACGGCCCAGAGUCCUACGGGAUGCAGCAGUCAGGAAUAUUGCGCAAUGGAGGAAACUCUGACGCAGCGACGCCGCGUGGGUGAUGAAGGCCUUCGGGU